rnacentral:rRNA from 1 species
GGCCAGCAGCCGCGGUAAUACAGAGGUCCCAAGCGUUGUUCGGAUUCACUGGGCGUAAAGGGUGCGUAGGCGGUCGGGUAAGUCUGAUGUGAAAUCUUCGAGCUCAACUCGAAAACUGCAUCGGAUACUAUUCGGCUUGAGGAUUGGAGGGGAGACUGGAAUUCUCGGUGUAGCAGUGAAAUGCGUAGAUAUCGAGAGGAACACCAGUGGCGAAGGCGAGUCUCUGGACAAUUCCUGACGCUGAGGCACGAAAGCUAGGGGAGCAAACAGGAUUAGAUACCCUGGUAGUCCUAGCCCUAAACGGUGCACGUUUGCUGUAAGAGGAAUCGACCCCUUUUGUGGCGAAGCUAACGCGUUAAACGUGCCGCCUGGGAAGUACGGCCGCAAGGUUAAAACUUAAAGGAAUUGGCGGGGGA